rnacentral:rRNA from 1 species
GAUGAACGCUGGCGGCGUGCCUAAUACAUGCAAGUCGAGCGAACAGACGAGGAGCUUGCUCCUCUGACGUUAGCGGCGGACGGGUGAGUAACACGUGGAUAACCUACCUAUAAGACUGGGAUAACUUCGGGAAACCGGAGCUAAUACCGGAUAACGUGUUGAACCGCAUGGUUCAACAGUGAAAGACGGUCUUGCUGUCACUUAUAGAUGGAUCCGCGCCGCAUUAGCUAGUUGGUAAGGUAACGGCUUACCAAGGCAACGAUGCGUAGCCGACCUGAGAGGGUGAUCGGCCACACUGGAACUGAGACACGGUCCAGACGCCUACGGGAGGCAGCAGUAGGGAAUCUUCCGCAAUGGGCGAAAGCCUGACGGAGCAACGCCGCGUGAGUGAAGAAGGUCUUCGGAUCGUAAAACUCUGUUAUUAGGGAAGAACAAAUGUGUAAGUAACUAUGCACGUCUUGACGGUACCUAAUCAGAAAGCCACGGCUAACUACGUG